AGGCUACUAUUGAAAUAAUUUCCUGCUUUAUGUUAGCUGCUAUAUUUAUUUUUGCACCUGAGUGUUGGUUUGUUGAGUUUGAUGUAGCAUGAUUUUUAUAUUCUAAAUUGCCUUUUUGUGGUCAUAUUUCCUCUCCUGUUUCAUUUCUCUUGCCCCUUAGCCUCUAUAUUCUGGUUCAUCAGUGUGCUUUGUGCUUCAUCUUCUCUUCUCUGUUUAGCUCUCCCUUGGCAUACAUAUAAACUGAUAUUUUCAUAGCAGAGGAUUUCUGAUACAUCUUUUUGCUUCUUUAUGUGUCAUUAGCAGAACAAUUUAAAAGGAAUGAACAACAAACAACAAGGCUUCCAUUUAUACAACGUAUGAUGAUUCAGAAGGACGGGACUGAGAAAUGUGUUCAUGGUUUGUUAUGUCUUCAUGCCACAAAAUGGAAUUGGUCUCACUGGUGGAUGGACCAUGCUUAGAUUUAUUUCUGACAUAUUUAACUUGAGAUGUUUACAAAGUUAAGAUUAUGCUGUAGAAAUUGGAGGUGAAAGUUUAAUAUUUUUUGUGAUUUUAUUGAACUUUUUAUUUGAAUAUUUUUAUUAAAGUUUUUUAAAAUGUUAUUUAACCAUUUUUUUCCACUCCAGAUUUUCUCCCCGACCCAGUCGACCCUUUGACUGUUCCACAUCCCAUACCUCUUCUCCCACCCUUCGUCUCCAUGAAGAAGUCCCAACCUCCAACCCCCAACCACCAUCCCACCAGACCUUGCUACUCCCUGGGGCCUCCAGUUUCAUGAGAGUUAGGCGCAUCUUCUCUGACUGAACCCAGACUCAACAGUCCUCUGCUGUAUAUGUGUUGGGGGCCUCAUGUCAGCUGGUGUAUGCUGCCUGGUUGGUGGGCCAGUGUCUAAGAGAUCUUGGGGGUCUAGGUUAACUGUGACUACUGGUCCUCCUACAGGGUCACCCUCCUUCUAAACUUCUUCCAUUCUUUCCCUAAUUCAAACACAUCGGUCAGCUGCUUCUGUCCAUUGGUUGGGUGCAAAUAUCUGCAUCUGACUCUUUCAGCCCUGUGUUGGGUCUUCCAGAGUGCAGUCAUGAUAAGUUCUUUUAUGUGCGCGCUUUAUAGCCCCAGUAAUGCGUCAGGCCUUCAGACCUCCCCUUGAGCUGGAUCCCACUUUGAGCCUGUUGCUGGACCUCCUUUUACUCGGACUCAUCUCCAUUUUUUUCACUGUAAUUUUAAAGAAAGGAACAAUUUUGGGUCAGAGAUUUUGACUGUGAGAUGGCAACCUCACCUCUCAUUUGAUACCCUGUCUUUCUGCUGGAGGUGGGCUCUACACGUUCCCUCUCCCAACUGUAGGGGAUUUCAUCUAAGGUCCUAAAAGAUGCAAUUUUAAUUUGUUUCCGUAUCAUAGUUUCAAUAAGUGUAUUAAAUGAAUUUAAAAUUCUUUAAUAAUUCAUGCUUUUACAUCGACUAGAUACUUUGUAAUAUACUUUGCUGUCCCUUAAGGACAUUUAAUAUGUUGCUCUAUACAAUGUCUUUUUUACUUUAUAAUGACCUUAUAUAAAAUCAACUCUAAACUUCUAUGUACAGUACAAUAUACAGUAAUGAGAUCUUCAUUAGGUCUACAUCAAUUUCUACAGGCUGCAUCCAUUAUAAAACACAACUUUGUCAACCUGAAACAUAACUACUUAUAGUAUUUCCUAGGAGUGGACCCAAUUACAGAUAUCUUUACAAUCAGACAUAAAUUAGGUGCUAUCUCCUUGUCUUCACCAAAAAUCUGUAAAUGUUCAUACAGGUGUUUGUUUGAAAUCAUGUUCAAGAACAAUACAUGGAAAUACAUUUUUAUAGAAAAAGCAAUUACUGAAAAUCUUCCCACAUGCGUAUGAGUGAAAGGAAUCUUAAGAAGUUAGGUGAAUGGCUAAAGCCAAUGACAUCACUGCUGAUGAUUCAAGCAAUGAGGCCUUGUUUCUUUUUAAAUUGUAUUUUUAUAACAAUUUACCAAAACAAACAUUAUAUGCCAAAAAGUUAUGACAGACUUGUGAGAUAUUUAUUUUAAAAAUAACUUAUUUUUUUUACUUAAAGCUGCUCAUAAUAUGUGGUUCUUAUAUAUCUGUGUGUGUAAGCAUAUGUUAGCAGAUGUAUGUAUAUCUAAAUGGAAACAGGAUAUUAAAUUUGGUUCCUUAGGAGCCAUAUAGCUUCCAUUUUUAAGACAGGGUCUCUCAAUACCAAGGGCCUCUCCUCUCAUUGAUGGCCUACUAGGCCAUCCUCUGCUACAUAUGCAACUAGAGACACAGUUCUGGGGGGUACUGGUUAGUUCAUAUUGUUGUUCCUCUAGGGUUGCAGAGCCCUUUAGCUCCUUGGGUACUUUCUCUAGCUCCUUCAUUAGGGACCCUGUGUUCCGUCCAAUAGAUGACUGUGAGCAACCACUUCUGUAUUUGUACAGGGGAAUUCCAGGGCCAGGAAGCAGUAGUGGGUGGAUUGGGGAGCAGGGCAGGGGAGGGUAUAGGGGGCAUUGGAAAUAGCAUUUGAAAUGU
rnacentral:lncRNA from 1 species